AGAUCAGACUCACAUGUGUCUGUGAAGAGUGACCGGUCAAAGGAUGAUAACAUGCCGAACUUCAGUGAGAAAAAACAUCUAUCAAAAGUCUGGAGCUUCUUUCCAGUAACACAAUCACACAAGCAGACACAAGGAGUGUAAGAUCAGACUCACAUGUGUCCAGCUCUGUGUCUGUGAAGAGUGACCAGUCAAAGGGUAGAGUACCAAACUUCAGUGAAGAA